GCGUCUUUAGCUCAAUGGAUAGAGCGUUCGGCUCCGGACCGAAAGGCUGCGGGUUCGAUUCCCGCAAGGCGCA
rnacentral:tRNA from 1 species